UUCUAUCUUCUUUGGUUUCCGGUGAUUACGGCUUGUCUUCGUGGCUCUGUCGUACCCACUGGAAAACCAUGGUUGCGGUUUCUCACCCCCCAUUCCCCCCAGGUGACAUGGACGAGGAGUUGGUAUUUGGGCUCGAUGGGAGGACGAUCUAGCUAGUCGGCAGUAGCGACCGUCACCCUAGUUAUAUUUCUUCCCGCAUUUAGUAGUUGUUAAUAAUAAAUAGUUCAGUU
rnacentral:lncRNA from 1 species